UAUACACUCAACAGGCAAAGAGCAAGAAGAGAUUUGAGCUCCACCUAAGCUGGUUUCUUCCAGUUUCUUGAUAUUUAUUAUAUUCUGGCUCUGCAUUUGAACGGUUGAUGGAAAGGCUUCCUUCCAUUCGGGGCCAUCUGUGAAAAUCUUAAGCUAUGGAUUGGGAGUGUUUGCAGAUAACAGAGAAGCACACUGCAAGAACAUGGAAGACUACAAUUUCCAGUAUCCUUGCAGCUAGAUGGGGCCAUAUUUCUAGUUAAACCCAACAGAAUGUGAAAGGAAAUGACGUUCACCACUUCUCCCUUUGCCCCCAGAAUGUUCUGUGUGAUGAUUUAUGUUCUGCUACACACUCAUCUGCUGUACAGAUGCAGAGAUUUGGCAGAACACCUAGGGGAUGGCAGGAGUCAUUACACAGAAGGAGCAUGGAUCUCUCAGUUACUAUGUAGGGUUGCCCAAGCAAGCUGAGAAACAUCUGAACGGGACUUCAUGA